UUCCCUCAAUACUGCUUCGGCGGCUUUAUUCAGAAGUUGGUCAACGACCUUGUCCAUGAUAGUUUCGGCCAUCUGAUUAAUUUCUUCAUCCCCUUUUGUGUGGGGAGAUCGUCCAACAGCUUCUGAGCGUAGAGAACACUUCUUCAGUACUUUUGCAAAUCGCGAGCAAAGUUUAAAAUGAAAAUUACAGCGCAACAAGAACGACUAGUUGGUACCUAACUGUCCUUCGGGCUCCCUACUCUUUUCGGCAGUCUCUGCCACUUUCCUAGCUUCGUGGAUGCCUUUUUCGCUCCUUUCGAUAAUUUCUUGUGCCAUUCCUCGGCCGCCGUCGUUCCAGAUAUCAGUAAAAAAUUUGCCAGCAACCACGCUUGCUUCGGCCGAGGGGUCCUUGAUAUCUUCGGAGCAUAAGGUAGCUUCGGACUGAGCUACAAGUUUUACGUGCCCGCAACCCUUCUUCUCUAACACAGAAGUAAUUCCUCUAGCGCCUGAAAAAGCGCAUAUGUCGCCGCGGCUGUUUAGAAUUUCUUCGAAGGCCUCUGCUUCGUGGCUAAUCCAUUCCAGCGGACCUUCGGGAUUGCCUCGAGAAAAAUUCUCUUCGCUGGAGAAGGCGCCGACGCUAGCAAAGCUGUUUUUAAUUUUAUUCACGCAUUCUAUAGAUUUAACAUAGCAUUUCCUCUGCGAUGUGCGAAGCUCCUUAACUCUUGAUUCCAAUUUGUUGACCAUAAAAUCACUAAGUUCACGAUUCGUUUCCUCAAGCGCGCGCUCCUCUUUCGCUCUAGCCAGUUGUUUCCGAAGAUCUUCAAUCUCGCGUUUUUGAGCUUCGGAUUGGGCCUUUGAAGCGGCCUCGUCUUUUUUCACUUUAUCCACCAAUGUAAGCAGAAUUUUAUCUUUUUCCAAAGCUUCAUUUCUCAGCUUGAUAACUUCGGAGCGUAAAUUAUUAAACGCAAUUUCAUAACUUUCAUCUUCGGCGCUCUUCUGCGCUCUUAGCGCGUUGCUUAGGAUCAGGCCCUAUACGAAAAAGAAUUCAAAUAAGGAAAAAGGAAUGAUGUGCGUAAAAAUAAUGGGGGGGUUUUUUCAAGCGUUUAGUUCCGGUACCUUCAAGCUGUUGUACGCAAGGCUGUCUGCGAGAUCCUCUUUCGUCAUGGCGCUUAGUCCAACUUCGAGCUUCGGGAAGCCUAUGCCCCUGGCCAUUUCUCGACAGACAGAUAGUUCCUUAUUAUCCGGUAGGCAGUAUAAAAAAUCAUCUUCAUUUGUCCCAUUGAAUAUUAUUGCCCCCUUUGGAUAUUUUAGCUCCUUUGCAUAAUGAUUAGCUUCAUGAAUUUCUCCGUCAGAUAGCUUCUUCCCCGAAGCAUGUCGUAUAAUGUAAUCACACAUGCUGGCAGGCGCUUCGGGGAUGGCAGUCUCAGCCUCUUCAAUUAAAAUUGGUUCUGGUAUUUUUAUCGCUUCGGUUUCCAAAGUUUCUUCCCUGAAGGGCUCUGAAGGCCCAGCUUCAGCUUCAGUUUGUUGUGUCGGAGCUUCAGAGGAAGCUUCAGCAAUUUCAACACUCUUUUUUGGAGUUGUGCUUGAAGACUUAAUUGUCUCCAAGACAUCUAGUACAUUUACCAUUCUUUUCCUUUUUGGGGUCACCAUUGGAGCCUUUUGGAUUUUUGCUGCUUCAAUAUUUAUUGCAGGACUUAAAGUUUCUGAGGUUUUUUCCUUAGUCAGAUUUUUCGCUUCUUCCAUUUUUUCUGUUGAUGGUGCUUCGGCCAUCUCUGCAAUUUCUGGCAAUAAGAGUGGCUGUUCAGCUUCAGCGGCCGAAGGAGUUCCUCCAGUAUACUCAGGCACCGAAGCUGGUUCAAUAUGGCGUGGUCGGUGUGUGAAGACCUUCAACCUUUUUCCUUUUGGGUCUAGCUCGCUAGGAGCAGUUCCAGCUUCUUCUUUUUCAGAUGUUAUGUUUUUCCUUUUUUGCCUUCGGACGGGAUAACAAUAAUCAGGGUAGAAGAACCCGAUUGCAUCAAACACUCGGUUCAAUCUCUUCUUUUUUCGGCCUCCGAAGGCUGCUGAUAGUGCAGUAUUUUCAGCCUUCGAGAAUGCCCCAAGUAAUUCAUCACUUAAUGUUUCAAUGCUUUUCAGCCAGUCAUCAUCAGGUUCAAUAAAUUUAUCUGCAUAUUUGAAUGUGUAUUUUAAUCUGACUAGUCCGCCUUCGUCGGACUCUUUGAUGGUUUCUUUCGGCAUUUCCCACUUUUCCGCAAGUGGCCAUAUCCUGAAGGCAAUGUGCUCCUGGACCAAGUCCCUUGUCCCAAUGAAGGAGCAGACUGCGCCGAAGGCUCUUUGGCAUUCUUCGGCUGCCUCAUCCAUUUCAACCUUCGGCCUUCGAAGUCCGAAGCGUUGCCAAAUUGGGUACAUAAUGAUACUUUUGACAUUAUUUUGCGCUGUUAGAUCAUUUUUCACAUAAAACCAUUCAGACAUCCAGGCUCCGGGCCACCUCUUCCGAAAGGUUGGCACAGGGUAGCUUGACCCGGAGCGGGCGCCGAAGCUGUAGCACCCAAAGUUGUUGUGGUAUUGCUCCUUUCCCCAGGGCUUCGUCUCGUACAAUAACUCGUGUAUGUUGCAGAAGCUUUUAGCGUUUGGUUCCAAACCUUGGCUUCUCGCAGCCCAGACAAAAAUCCCCAUUCUUAUAAUAGCUUCGGGAGUGAGUUGAUGAAGGUAGAUUUGGAAUGUUUUCAGUACCUCAACAACAAAAUUGCUCAGGGGGAAUCGAAGCCCAGCCUUGAGGAGGCUUCGGAAAAUCACAACUUCAUCUUCUUCAGGUGUGGGAGAAGUCUUUUCCCCGGCAUCAGCUCUCACAAUAGAUAUGUCUCGGAAGUAUCGCCCCCUCAUAUUAUCAAUGUGACUCUGCUUGAUGGUUGUUUUCCCAAAAACUGAGUGACUUGGUCGCCACGGUCGAUCUUCGGCCUCUUCCCCAUCACUUUCCACAUCAUAGCUGUCGCUGUCAUCAGUAUCUUCGGACAAACCUUCGAGAGUCUCCUUCGUGAUUUUCUCUGUAUUAGUCUCUGCCAUCGCUAUCAGGAACCCCAGAUUCUUCUCCUCCUCGAGACUCAGCUUCGUCUCAGCAGGGAUCUUCUUGUCUUCAGACAUCUUCGGAAACACUAAAAAUUUGUUCCCGAGGCCGAAGCUUCGAAAUCAAAAAGACCAGCAAAUCUCAAUGAGCAAGAACUAAAAAUUUUUAGUGGGCCGAAGCAAAAGGCAGGCGUGUGUACCAAAUGAAUUCACAAUGUGUUCUUAUUUAUACGCCUAGGGCGUUAAAAGUUAAAAGGCCCCGCUUGUCAGUGAAUGUUGCUAUUCUAGCAAAGGGAAGGUGUUUUUUCGGACCUUCGGCUCAAGGCCUUCGUCCAUAUCGCAAUCUGAAUUUAUUAUUUACAAAUUAAUAUUGCGAGGGGCUACUGUUGGGGGCCUUCGUCCUCCGAAGGUCCUCAAAAACAUGAUUUGACAAUGUUUUCCAAGUGAAUUAUAUGAACAGGUAUUUUCGGAUUCAGAAUUAUGGAUAUGGAACACGACCAGGACGAAGGCUGAGCCAGACGAAGGUCGGGGGUAGCCGAAGCUGUACGCAGGGAAGCUUCGACGCGAUGGCGCAAGGGGGAACCGACCUUAAGAUGAAAAGACUUCGGGGUCCUCAAUAGAUUUCCAUAAACCGUUAACAAAUGUAAUGGACAUGGAUGUAAUUUUACGUGGGCUGCGUCCCGCGUCUAUAAAUAGAUGAACAGUACUCCCGUACUGUUCACGCGGACUUGUCAUUCUGCUUUUGGCGUCACGCUCGUACUUUCCACCUUCUCUCAGGAUCGAAGGUACAUUUGUAAUUUGGGAUCAUUUCUGUUUUUCCAUGUUAAUAAAAUAGAAAUGAUUCUUUGGUGAUGCUUAUAUCAUAUUUCAUGCUUUAUGUGAGUCCUUCGUCAUUAUUUGUUAUGUUUACGAAGGUAUGUUUCUCAUGACCUUCGUCCGAGACUCAUUAUUUCCCAAAGGGAUAUAAUGCUUCGAAGGACGAAGGACCCUAACACUUAACACUUUUUAUGUUGCCUUGUUCUUAACUCUUAGAAUUUGAGAACAAGUCCCCAACACCCUUGGACCUGGCGGUUUGGGCGAGGGGCUCCGGUCCUCCUCACUGUCGUAGCAUCCUCCAUGCCUGGGGUGGUAGCCUUGGCGCACCCUCUCUUCGAGGCGCGCUCGACGGUCGCGGUGGUGCUGCUCGUCGCCGAGGCGAUCCGGGGCUGCGGGCGUCCCGUCCCGUGUGCGCUCGGUGCAGACCGAGGCCUCCCGCAUGCGUCGGGAGGGCGUUGCGUGAUGCUCCGAGGGGCACCCUUGCCUUCGGGAAGCAGAGCUCUCGGCUCGUCGGACCGCAGCGUCUUCCAGGAGACCCUUGAGUUCGCCCUAGAUACGCCGCCCCUCGGUGGUGGAUGGCUCCGGCAUUGCUUGGAGUAGCAUCGCCGCUGCAGCUAGGUUCUGGCUGACCCCGCUGAAGGCCGGGGGCAGCCCUGCCCUAGCAUCAUCAACGAUACGACGCUGGACGUCUUGGGCUCGAUGACGCGCUCCUCCGGCAAGUGCUCGGCCUGCCCACUCCUGCUCGAUGUUUUGUCGGAGCUGCACAAGCCACCCCGCUUCUUCGUCGAGCUUGGCCUGCAUCUCGUGGAAUUGCUCGAGCUGUGUGUCCUGACCCCCGCAAGGACUGGGACCACAGCUAGCUCCCGCGGGAUGUCAACGCGAGACGCAGGCAUAGGGGCGUUGUCAUCUUGCGGCAUGCUGAGGUGGUUGUCUUCGCCAUGAUCCCCCUGAUCGAUGUGGAAACACUCGCAACUUGGGUCGCAACCCUCAUCGCCGAGGCUGUGGUCAUCGUCAGAGCAGCCGGAGAGGCAGCAGUCACAUGCGGACAUGAAGUCUCGCAUGGCACUGGGAUCACUGAGUCUGGAGAAAUCCCAACCGAAGUCAGAGUCGUCGUCUUCCUCGGAACCCGCGGGUUCGGAGGUUGAGACGACCGUCGGUCGGUCCCAAGAUGACCACAUAUGAUACCCUGGAAGGUCAGGGUAUGCCCUUGCGAAAGCGCUCACCGAAGCGGGGUCGCUUGGUGGAUUGAAGCUGAAUCUAAAAGGGACAGGGUGGAAAACGGACGGUACCUUUUGGUCGAUGGACGGUGGCGGAGUCGCGUCGGGGAUGGAAUGCACCAUUAUCUCAGGUACGAGGCUAACACCCAGCAAGUCCUUCGCGAGGGUGCUGGCGUCAUCAGUCCGCUUGGGGUUGGCACGUAGCAGGGAUGUUGGAACUCUCAAGUGCUCUCACACUCUGAAGAACGCUAAGAACACAAAGUUGGAAGACACAAACGAGAUACGGCGCCGAACGCCACCAGCGCACACACACUGGACCU
rnacentral:lncRNA from 1 species